AACGCACCUUGCGCUCCUUGGUAUUCCUUGGAGCAUGCCUGUUUGAGUGUCAUGAAACAAUCGACUGCUUUUAUUAUUUUAUAUAGUAGAAGUGAAGUUGGAGUUGGAGGAUAAUUGGUGGCGCGACUUAGGUUGCUUGUCAGCUCCUCUUGAAUUGAUAGCUUUUCUGAUAGAUCAUAGCUGGGAAAGGCUAAUGUGAUAAAUAUCUAUGUUAGUUAUAGAAAGCUGUGAGUAGAGUGGCUUCAAAUUUUGGAGUGACUCCUAUAGAAAGGUGUGUCUCGGAAAAAAAUUGAGAGGGUUAUUUCUGAGAUACAAGAGAUAUAUUAUGAUACAUCUGACCUCAAAUCAGGUAGGACUACCCGCUGAACUUAA
rnacentral:misc_RNA from 1 species